rnacentral:rRNA from 1 species
CCUACGGUCUCUGCCGUGGGGAAUAUUGGACAAUGGGCGAAAGCCUGAUCCAGCCAUGCCGCGUGUGUGAAGAAGGCCUUCGGGUUGUAAAGCACUUUCAGUGGGGGAGAAAGCCUUGGGGCUAAUACCCUCGAGGAAGGACAUCACCCACAGAAGAAGCACCGGCUAACUCCGUGCCAGCAGCCGCGGUAAUACGGAGGGUGCGAGCGUUAAUCGGAAUUACUGGGCGGAAAGCGCGCGUAGGCGGUCUGAUAAGCCGGUUGUGAAAGCCCCGGGCUCAACCUGGGAACGGCAUCCGGAACUGUCAGGCUAGAGUGCAGGAGAGGAAGGUAGAAUUCCCGGUGUAGCGGUGAAAUGCGUAGAGAUCGGGAGGAAUACCAGUGGCGAAGGCGGCCUUCUGGACUGACACUGACGCUGAGGUGCGAAAGCGUGGGUAGCAAACAGGAUUAGAUACCCCAGUAGUC